GUGCACCAGUCGAGAAUUUUUCUCAAUGGGGGAAACCCUGAAGGAGCGACGCCGCGUGGAGGAUGAAGGCUUUCGGGUUGUAAACUCCUGUCAUUUGAGAACAAGUGGCCGAACGUAACUACUUCGGCCUUGAUAGUAUCAGAAGAGGAAGGGACGGCUAACUCUGUGCCAGCAGCCGCGGUAAUACAGAGGUCUCAAGCGUUGUUCGGAUUCAUUGGGCGUAAAGGGUGCGUAGGUGGCGCCGUAAGUCGGGUGUGAAAUUUCGGAGCUUAACUCCGAAACUGCAUUCGAUACUGCGGUGCUUGAGGACUGGAGAGGAGACUGGAAUUUACGGUGUAGCAGUGAAAUGCGUAGAGAUCGUAAGGAAGACCAAGUGGCGAAGGCGGGUCUCUGGACAGUUCCUGACACUGAGCACGAAGGCCAGGGGAGCAAACGGGAUUAGAUACCCGUGUAGU
rnacentral:rRNA from 1 species